CACGUAGGACGCAAGCGUUAUCCGGAAUUACUGGGCGUAAAGAGCGUGUAGGCGGUGCUGUAAGUCAACCGUGAAAGCUCCCGGCUAAACUGGGAGAGGUCGGAUGAGACUGCAGCGCUAGUGGGUCGUAGAGGAAUGUGGAAUUCCGGGUGUAGUGGUGAAAUGCGUAGAUAUCGGGAGGAACACCAGUGGCGAAGGCGACUUCCUGGCCUGUUCUUGACGCUGAGGCGCGAAAGCUAGGGGAGCAAACGGG
rnacentral:rRNA from 1 species